GACGAACGCUGGCGGCGUGCUUAACACAUGCAAGUCGAGCGGUAAGGCUCCUUCGGGAGUACACGAGCGGCGAACGGGUGAGUAACACGUGAGCAAUCUGCCCUUCACUUCGGGAUAACUCCGGGAAACCGGUGCUAAUACCGAAUACGACCACUUCAGGCAUCUGAUGGUGGUGGAAAGUUCCGGCGGUGAAGGAUGAGCUCGCGGCCUAUCAGCUUGUUGGUGAGGAAUGGCCCACCAAGGCAACGACGGGUAGCCGGCCUGAGAGGGUGACCGGCCACACUGGGACUGAGACACGGCCCAGACUCCUACGGGAGGCAGCAGUGGGGAAUAUUGGACAAUGGGCGAAAGCCUGAUCCAGCAACGCCGCGUGAGGGAUGACGGCCUGGUGUAAC
rnacentral:rRNA from 1 species